rnacentral:lncRNA from 1 species
AACGGGCUGAUGUGCCGCCAUGCAAGGAUGAUACCGUGCUAAGAGUGCAGAGUGCACCACCUUUGGAAGAGAAGAAAGAGGAGAGAUCUCGACAUAGCUCUUGGUUCGAGAGAAUGAUGAAUGCGAUGAGCUCUGCUUGCUCAUUAAGAGGACCCGCAGCUGAACUGGAGGAUGAUGUGCUUUCACGAGGACUAAUUCAGCUGACGUUUCAUAGCGAUUUUGGUUAAGGGAUCCUCUAAAGUCGGGCUGGCGACUCUAAAACUAGCGCUUGGUGGGAGGCAACCCACCGUGGUUUGGUUUUUGUUUUUGUUUUUGUUUUUCUUGUUCUUUGUUUUCCGUUUUUGUUUCGUGUUUUUCCUAAGUUUCGGUUGCUUUGCGGAUACUAUGAUGCGUGGUGUGCAUGUCUUGUUUUCAGCGCUGCAAUUCUCAAUAUGCCGCCAGCGUUGCUGCCACCACCGCUACUUCUCCGCGCUGCUCUGCCAGCGCUGACCUGAUUCAGCGUGGCCACUCUUCACUCUGCCACAGACAGCAAAUUCCACACUUCGCCACCUCGCACGAUGCUUCAGUUUCUCAAUGCCGAUAAUCAGGGACGUUUUCUCAACUCUUCUUAUUUCUUUUGUGCCCUGAGGACAUGGCAUGCUUUAAGUGUGGGGGGGGGUGUUUUAUU